rnacentral:rRNA from 1 species
AUUGAACGCUGGCGGCAUGCCUUACACAUGCAAGUCGAACGGUAACGGGCCUUCGGGCGCCGACGAGUGGCGCACGGGUGAGUAAUACAUCGGAACGUGCCCGAUCGUGGGGGAUAACGAGGCGAAAGCUUUGCUAAUACCGCAUACGAUCUACGGAUGAAAGCAGGGGACCGCAAGGCCUUGCGCGGACGGAGCGGCCGAUGGCAGAUUAGGUAGUUGGUGGGAUAAAAGCUUACCAAGCCGACGAUCUGUAGCUGGUCUGAGAGGAUGAUCAGCCACACUGGGACUGAGACACGGCCCAGACUCCUACGGGAGGCAGCAGUGGGGAAUUUUGGACAAUGGGCGCAAGCCUGAUCCAGCCAUGCCGCGUGCAGGAUGAAGGCCUUCGGGUUGUAAACUGCUUUUGUACGGAACGAAAAGCCUUCUUUUAAUACAGGAGGGUCAUGACGGUACCGUAAGAAUAAGCACCGGCUAACUACGUGC